rnacentral:lncRNA from 1 species
ACCACACACAUUUAUUUAAAUAAAAGUGAACGCAGGUGCAGGCUGGUGGGAGGCAAGGGGCAAAGGUGGUGCUACGUCCUGGCCCUGCCGCGCCAGCAGAGGGUUGUAAUCCUUUCCAUCAUAGUUUGCGUCAAAGAAUUUCUUAAACCACUGAAUAAACUCAAAAUUAUCUUGGAAUUUUCCUUUCACUAAUUUCUCUACGGGAAUGAU